rnacentral:lncRNA from 1 species
UCUUUCAUAAUAACACAUUUUGUAAUAUAUGUGUCCUGACAGACUUCAUGGAUGUACAUCUCAGAGACUGAUUGUGAAGUCGUGGCCUCAGCUCUGAAGUCCAACCCCUCCCACCUGAGAGAGCUGCACCUGGAUAUAAUAUCACUGAAGGAUUCAGCAGUGAAGCUGCUGUGUGCUGGACUGCAGAGUCCAAACUGUAGACUGGAGACGCUGAGAUUGAAGGACUGCAGUCUGUCAGAGAUCAGCUGUGCUUCUCUGGUCUUCAGCUCUGAAGUCCAACCCCUCCCCUCCUGAGAGAGCUGGACCUGAGGGACACCGAGCUGCAGGAUUCAUCAGAGAAGCUGCUGCGUGACCUUCUGAAGAGUCCAGACUGCAGACUGGAGACUCUCAGGUCAGUCAGGGUCCGACUCAGUCUCUGCUGGUUCAGCAGUAUUGUACUAACAGGGGGGUUAAUGUGUUACUCACGUUGGGGAAUCCCCCAGUUCUACCUUCCACUUGUAGCCUAGCUUAGCAGAACUAAUCAGUGAUUUCACUCAUUGCCUGCAGGUUCUCCUGUUCUUUCAUCUCGUGUUUCUUUUCUUUCAUUCUUCCACUAACAAUAAAACACAAGCUGACAAUGCAAAGCCAAGCAACAUGUUACAAGUUGUAACUUUGGAACUUGUGAUUUCACAGAAGAGUGAGACAGGUAGUGUGUUUGGUUUUUGGAUCCAGACUAAAGACGAGUUACUUCCUGUAAUGCAGGCUCAGAGCUGUCUGCAGUCAGUUGUAGUGUUUGCACAGAAGAUAUGAUGCCAUGUAAAGCGUUCCAUCAGUCGGCUCGUGUCAGGACUCUGAAGCGGGCUGACUCUAACAACAAACUGUUAUUUAAACCUGAGACAUAACUUUUGGGAUUGUGUUCCUACAGGAUCGAUGACGAGUUGAUCACAGCUGAGAAACACACAACAUGUGAGUAUUGCAGCAUAUCCUCCAUUCAUCCAGAUAUUACAUGAACAUCUGAUCUUAAAAUGAGAUGCCCUCAUCGUACACAAACUACUUUCAAUUGUGUUUCUGUUUGAUAUAUAAAAUAUAUAUUCUAUUUCUAAAAUA